GCCUUUGUGGUGUGAAUGUAGCACAUUCGGCCCGUAUUCGAGAAGUCCAGGUUCGAGUCCUGGUAAGGGCA
rnacentral:tRNA from 1 species